UGGGUAACUGCAGCCUGGAGAAAUGGGCGUGGCACAAGGUAGGGGCGUGGCAAAAGGUUUUUCAUUGGUCGAAAUUUUUUCCGGUAGGGGCGUGGCAAAAGGUUUUUUAUUGGUCAGGUUUUCUUUUCGGUCAAAUGUUUUGGCCAAUCAGCAAUCACCAAACGCUUGCACAAUGGCGUCGGUAAAGACGUGAUGUUGACUGCUGUAAACAGACGUGUAUUAAGAUUUACGAUUUAAACAGCCUUGUACAUUGCUCCUGAGGUUGGGUUUGACUAUUCUGAGGCUAUAUGACUUGCAUAAGGAGAUUGUGGUGUGGGUUCUUGCUUGAAGACUCACGGUAAAUAAAAAAUCUUUUUAUACAAUUAAAGUGAUGUCAGUUAGCACUUUGCAAUUAAUUUUUGUCUUCCCUCAAGGUCUCCUUAAGAACGAAAAAGACCCAGAAAUGUAUAGAGCUUAUCUUGGGCAUC